CGCGGGCACCGGCGGUGGGCGGGGCCAGCAGCGCAAACGGCCGGCAGCUGGGACCGGACCUGCACAGGCUGCCUAUGGCGGGUGGCGGGUGGGCCCGCGAGUCACAGCCGGCCAACCGGGGCCAGCCAGGAGCCUGAGGGUCGGAAGCCCCCAACACAAGAUGCUGAGCUCCUUCCUGAGCCCCCAGAAUGGCACCUGGGCAGACACCUUCUCUCUGCCCUUGGCUCUUGCCGUUGCCCUCUACUUGGGCUACUACUGGGCAUGUGUGCUUCAGAGGCCUCGGCUGGUGGCUGGGCCACAGUUUCUGGCCUUCCUGGAGCAACACUGUUCCAUCACCACGGAGACUGUCUACCCAACGCUGUGGUAUUUUGAGGGGCAACUACAAAGCAUCUUCCAAGUCCUCCUGCAGUCUCAGCCCCUAGUCCUUUAUCAGAGUGACAUCCUCCAAACACCAGAUGGAGGCCAGCUCCUGCUAGACUGGGCCAAGCAGCCUAACAGCAGCCCCAAGCAACCUGACAGCAGCCAAGACCCUGAUCCUACUACCCAGCCCAUCGUGCUGCUGCUUCCUGGCAUCACCGGCAGUAGCCAGGAGACAUACGUCUUGCACCUAGUUAACCAAGCUCUGAGGGAUGGCUACCAGUAAGGAUGGGUGCAGCCCCAGAGUGGGGUGGCAUCUGAGAACGUGUACUAGGGAGAAGUCAAUCUGGACACUGAUAGAUAAGAAGAAUGCUACACGAAGGGAGUCUUUGGACAGGGGUCUUUCUGAAGACUACUGAAAGGGGAGAGGGGCUAAGAAGGGUCUGGCUAAGAUGUACCUGUGUGUGCCACAGGGCUGUUGUGUUUAACAACCGGGGCUGCCGUGGGGAGGAACUGCAGACCCACAGGGCUUUUUGUGCCAGCAAUACUGAAGAUCUAGAGACAGUCGUGAACCACAUCAAGCACCGCUAUCCCCAAGCUCCACUGCUGGCCGCAGGCAUCUCUUUUGGAGGGAUACUGGUGCUGAAUCACCUGGCACAGGCCGGGCAGGCUGCAGGGCUGGUGGCAGCACUGACUCUGUCUGCAUGCUGGGAUUCCUUUGAGACCACUCGCUCCCUGGAAACCCCACUCAACUGACUGCUCUUCAAUCAGCCCCUCACUGCUGGGCUCUGCCAACUUGUGGAACGCCUAUCCUAUGGUAACACCUGCAGGCCCGCACAAUCCGCCAGUUUGAUGAGCGCUACACGUCUGUGGCCUUUGGAUAUCAAAACUGUGUUACCUACUACAAAGCAGCAAGCCCUAGAACCAAGGUAGAUGCCAUCCGGAUCCCUGUGCUCUGUCUCAAUGCAGCGGAUGACCCCUUCUCCCGUUUGUGCCCUUCCCAUACAGGCCGCCCAACACUCCCCCUACGUUGCGCUGCUCAUCACAGCCCGGGGUGGCCACAUCGGCUUCCUGGAAGGGCUGCUCCCAUGGCAGCACUGCUACAUGAGCCGCCUCUUGCAUCAGUACGCCAAAGCCAUCUUCCAGCACCCAGAGGGGCUGCCUGACCUCAGGGCUCUCUUACCUUCUGAGGACAGAAAUAGCUGACAAGAGUACCAUUUGGGGUCUCAGUUCACUCUUUCCUUGUUUAUUAAAUAUCAACUUUUCCUGCCUAA
rnacentral:sRNA from 1 species